AAAGAACUACAAAAACCUUCGUAAGGGGCCACAUGAAAUAGUUGGGUGCGAUUUUACCCAAUGAAAUUGAUAUUGGAAAUAAAUAGGAAACCUUGUUUCAUACGUGAGGAAAAACAUAAAAGUUAAUAAAAGAAGGAAUAACCACAGCUGAAAUAAAAUAAAAAAACUACAGCGUAGACCUGCACUCGAUCAUCGAUGUCCUUUCCCAGCGUCCCCGUCACUCCCCGUGGCCGUGAGUCCGCAACCCUCCGUUUGAUCGUCAUUGAAAACUGUAAUAAGAAAGGCUACGCCGUAAAUAUAAUUUUGGCGGAGGUUUUGGUAGCUGCUGUAUAUGGCCUGUCAGACUUGGAACCAGACUUGGUAACGAGGUACUGCCCUCUACUAGGCUAGUUAAACUUUAGCUAGGGGUCGAGGAGUGAAACCGAGCCCCCCCCCAUGCCAACCACCACCACCGCCACCACUACCACGAUCACAAUCACCAAGCACUUUUCCUUGGCCCCCAUCAAGUGAGAAGUUCUCUUGCUGUCAAGUUGGGACUUGGUUAUUGAAGUGUAAGGGUAAUCCGGACAACCUAACUUUAAUGUUGAGGAAACCUAUCUGUGUUCAUGGUUCAUCAGCUAUUUGACUGUAUAUGAUUCCAAGAUUCAAGACACACUUCAAAGAAUCGAAGAUGAGAGUCCACACGUUUGUUUGUAAAGGCGGUCCAUCCGCCCC